rnacentral:rRNA from 1 species
GUCUAUGGCCAAACCACCCUGAACGCACCCGAUCUCGUCUGAUCUCGGAAGCUAAGCAGGGUCGGGCCUGGUUAGGACUUGGAUGGGAGAAAGCCCAGCCUCCCAGGGCCAGGGCA